UCAAGGAACUGAACUCAGGUGUCACCGUUAUUGGCUGAACCAUCUCACUGACUACUGCUGCUGCUUCCUCUUCCUCCUCCUCCUUUUUAAAAUAUUUAUUUAUGUAUUUUAUGUAUAUGACUGCUCUAUUUGCAUGAAUGCCUGCAUGACAAAAGAGGGCAUCAGACAGAAGAGCAUCGUGUAGGGAAA